rnacentral:misc_RNA from 1 species
AACACUGUUAACCUGCGGUACCUGCGGAGGGAUCAUUAUAGUAUAUGGAAUCUCCAUUCUAUAAACCCACUCUGCGUAUCUUGUAACUGUUGCUUCCAUGGGACUUGGUUCCGCCACACCGGCUUCACGGCUGGUGAGCGCCCGUGGAAGGAGAAACAAAACUCUUCUUUGAAAUGUAGUCAGUCUGAACAAGUUUUUAUAAACGUUAAAACUUUUAACAACGGAUCUCAGAUCGGAAGA